GGUUAAGCUACUAAGGGCGCACGGAGGAUGCCUAGGCACCAGGAGCCGAUGAAGGACGCGGCGAACAGCGAAAUGCCUCGGGGAGCCGUAAGCAGGCUUUGAUCCGGGGAUGUCCGAAUGGGGAAACCCGGCUGCGGUAAUGCGCAGUCACGUUACAGUGAAUACAUAGCUGUAAUCGAGGCAUACCAGGGGAACUGAAACAUCUAAGUACCCUGAGGAAGAGAAAACAAUAGUGAUUCCGUCAGUAGCGGCGAGCGAACGCGGAUUAGCCCAAACCAAGGUGCUUGCAUCUUGGGGUUGUAGGACGUCUCACAUGGAGUUACAAAUGGGUUGGGUAGACGAAGCGGUCUGGAAAGGCCGGCCAGAGAAGGUAAAAGCCCUGUAAUCGAAAGUCAAUCCACUCCGAGACGGAUCCUGAGUACGGCGGGACACGUGAAACCCCGUCGGAAUCCGGCAGGACCAUCUGCCAAGGCUAAAUACUCCCUGGUGACCGAUAGCGAAGCAGUACCGUGAGGGAAAGGUGAAAAGCACCCCGGAAGGGGAGUGAAAUAGAACCUGAAACCGUGCGCUUACAAAAAGUCAGAGCCCUCUAUAUGGGUGAUGGCGUGCCUUUUGUAGAAUGAACCGGCGAGUUAUGAUCACGUGCAAGGUUAAGGUGGAGAGCCGGAGCCGCAGCGAAAGCGAGUCUGAAUAGGGCGCCAUAGUACGUGGUUGUAGACCCGAAACCGGGUGAUCUACCCCUGUCCAGGGUGAAGGUGCGGUAACACGCACUGGAGGCCCGAACCCACGCACGUUGAAAAGUGCGGGGAUGAGGUGGGGGUAGCGGAGAAAUUCCAAUCGAACUCGGAGAUAGCUGGUUCUCCCCGAAAUAGCUUUAGGGCUAGCCUCGGUAUGAGCGUCGUGGAGGUAGAGCACUGAUUGGGUGCGGGGCCCGCAAGGGUUACCAAGUCCAGUCAAACUCCGAAUGCCACAGACGUAUGACCGGGAGUCAGACAGUGAGUGCUAAGAUCCAUUGUCAAGAGGGAAACAGCCCAGAUCAUCAGCUAAGGUCCCCAAGUGUGUGUUAAGUGGGAAAGGAUGUGGAGUUGCACAGACAACCAGGAUGUUGGCUUAGAAGCAGCCACCAUUUAAAGAGUGCGUAAUAGCUCACUGGUCGAGUGACUCUGCGCCGAAAAUGUAACGGGGCUAAACACACCACCGAAGCUAUGGCANNNNNNNNNNNNNNNNNNNNNNNNNNNNNNNNNNNNNNNNNNNNNNNNNNNNNNNNNNNNNNNNNNNNNNNNNNNNNNNNNNNNNNNNNNNNNNNNNNNNNNNNNNNNNNNNNNNNNNNNNNNNNNNNNNNNNNNNNNNNNNNNNNNNNNUUGGGUAGGGGAGCGUUGAAUACGGGUUGAAGGUAUACCGUAAGGAGUGCUGGACUGUAUUCAAGUGAGAAUGCCGGUAUGAGUAACGAAAAGAUCAGUGAGAAUCUGAUCCGCCGAAAGCCUAAGGGUUCCUGAGGAAGGCUCGUCCGCUCAGGGUAAGUCGGGACCUAACGCGAGGCCGAAAGGCGUAGUGGAUGGACAACAGGUUGAAAUUCCUGUACCACCGUAGCCGUUAUGAGCGAUGGAGUGACGCAGAAGGGUAGUGACGCGGGCUGAUGGAUGCCCGUCCAAGCAGUGAGGCUGGUGAGUAGGCAAAUCCGCUCAUCGUAAGGCUAGGCUGUGAUGGGGAGCGAAAAUUACAGUAGCGAAGGUCAUGAGCUCCAGCUGCCAAGAAAAGCUUCUAGCCAGGCGAAGGUGCCCGUACCGCAAACCGACACAGGUAGGCGAGCAGAGCAUGCUAAGGCGCGCGGAAGAACUCUCGUUAAGGAACUCGGCAAAAUGACCCCGUAACUUCGGGAGAAGGGGUGCCUCGGUAGGGUGAAUAGCCCGAGGGGGCCGCAGUGAAAAGGCCCAAGCGACUGUUUAGCAAAAACACAGGUCUGUGCGAAGCCGUAAGGCGAAGUAUACGGGCUGACGCCUGCCCGGUGCUGGAAGGUUAAGGGGAGCGGUUAGGGGCAACCCGAAGCUGUGAACCGAAGCCCCAGUAAACGGCGGCCGUAACUAUAACGGUCCUAAGGUAGCGAAAUUCCUUGUCAGGUAAAUUCUGACCCGCACGAAUGGCGUAACGACUUGGGCGCUGUCUCAACGAGAGAUCCGGUGAAAUUUUACUACCUGUGAAGAUGCAGGUUACCCGCGACAAGACGGAAAGACCCCAUGGAGCUUUACUGCAGCUUGAUAUUGGACUUUGGUACGAUCUGUACAGGAUAGGUGGGAGCCUAAGAAGCCGGAGCGCCAGCUUCGGUGGAGGCGCCGUUGGGAUACCACCCUGAUCGUAUCGGAGUUCUAACCUGGCAUCGUGAAUCCGGUGCAGGGACCGUGUCAGGCGGGCAGUUUGACUGGGGCGGUCGCCUCCUAAAGUGUAACGGAGGCGCCCCAAGGUUCCCUCAGAAUGGUUGGAAAUCAUUCGUAGAGUGCAAAGGCAUAAGGGAGCUUGACUGCGAGACCUACAAGUCGAGCAGGGACGAAAGUCGGGCUUAGUGAUCCGGUGGUACCGCAUGGAAGGGCCAUCGCUCAACGGAUAAAAGCUACCCUGGGGAUAACAGGCUUAUCUCCCCCAAGAGUCCACAUCGACGGGGAGGUUUGGCACCUCGAUGUCGGCUCAUCGCAUCCUGGGGCUGAAGUAGGUCCCAAGGGUUGGGCUGUUCGCCCAUUAAAGCGGUACGCGAGCUGGGUUCAGAACGUCGUGAGACAGUUCGGUCCCUAUCUGUCGUGGGCGUAGGAAAUUUGAGAGGAGCUGUCCUUAGUACGAGAGGACCGGGAUGGACGUACCGCUGGUGUACCAGUUGUUCCGCCAGGAGCACCGCUGGGUAGCUAUGUACGGACGGGAUAAACGCUGAAAGCAUCUAAGCGUGAAGCCCCCCUCAAGAUGAGAUUUCCCAGUAUGUAAGACCCCUGGUAGACGACCAGGUUGAUAGGUCCGGGGUGGAAGUGCAGUAAUGCAUGCAGCUGACGGAUACUAAUCGGUCGAGGGCUUAUCCUA
rnacentral:rRNA from 1 species